CAGCCUACCAUGCAGUCGAGCGGAACGACANUANNNAUCCUUCGGAUGNUUUAAUGGGCGUCGAGCGGCGGACGGGUGAGUAAUGCCUAGGAAAUUGCCUUGAUGUGGGGGAUAACCAUUGGAAACGAUGGCUAAUACCGCAUAAUGCCUACGGGCCAAAGAGGGGGANCUUCGGACCUCUCGCGUCAAGAUAUGCCUAGGUGGGAUUAGCUAGUUGGUGAGGUAAUGGCUCACCAAGGCGACGAUCCCUAGCUGGUCUGAGAGGAUGAUCAGCCACACUGGAACUGANACACGGUCCANACUCCUACGGGAGGCAGCANUGGGGAAUAUUGCACAAUGGGCGAAAGCCUGAUGCAGCCAUGCCGCGUGUAUGAAGAAGGCCUUCGGGUUGUAAAGUACUUUCAGUUGUGAGGAAGGGUGUGUAGUUANUAGUCUGCACAUCUUGACGUNAGCAACAGAANAAGCACCGGCUAACUCCGUGCCCCAGACCACGGUA
rnacentral:rRNA from 1 species